CUGUUUAAAAGACUAAAUGGACUGUGUUGUAUUGAUAUGAUGAACUAGUUGAUGAUAUUUUUGUGAUGUGUAUUAAAUGAGUUAGGUUGUUAGAUAACUGUAAUGGACUGGAUUUUGAAAGUGAAUGUAGUUGUGAUCUUCGUCACACCCAAAUCCCUCUGAUCUGAUCUUCGUUUUUCCCCCGGUGGCGCUUGUCGCUUAUGCCGGGGGAGAUCUCUCUUUUCUCUUUCAGCUUUUUCAUCAAUUUGCUCUUUUUUGUUGCUUAGAUUUAUUGUUUUUUUAGAUCUUUUCGUCAGUUGUGACAGGUUGUUCUUCCGUGUGUUUCUGAGCGGGCUUUUGAAGGUUCUGGUGGCUCUUCUUCACUCUCCCAUACGUUUCUGUAAUGGAGUUUCACUUCAUAUAAAGGAGCAGUGGUGGUGGUGAUAACAGUUACAGGAGUUCGGUGGUAUUAGUUGUGGUUGUUGUGUGAACUCAACCUCCUUUUCAGUGAUUUUGGUUUGAGUGUUUUGCAACGGAUCUGGUUGUGUUCCGGAUUGGAAGUUCAACGGUCGGGUGCCUGGUUAAACUUAUACCGGAGCGGAAGAUCGACGGUGUUCUUAUUGGUGUGCUUAUUUUCUUUGGAAAUUUAUCUUUACCAUAGCCCCUAUUGGUGUGCGUGGAAUCUUUAGUUUCUAAUCUAUUGUGUCCGUCUAUACCUUCAUGGUAAACGGUUAAGUGGGCUGUCCUGAAAAAUCCGCAUUGGUUUCUUGGGCUGUCCAAUACUAUUAAGCGUACUCGGCAAGCACUGAACUGCUUCCAACACUAAUGUGGUGAAGUAGUGACUGUGGCUGCAAAUAGAGUAGCAACUGAGAUCGCUGUAGUAUAAGAAUGGACGAGUUCAAUCCUAUGUAGCUCGUGGAGGUUUAAGUUGGCUUACUGAUAUCAUUCUUGUUGAUGAUGUCUCCUCUUCGUCUAAAUAUUGCAGAUGAGCCUUCAAUGGCUUCACCUAAUGGAGUAUGAAGCCAUUUAUAUCUUCAAAAACUCAUUUCUCUCUUUAGGUUUUUUUUCUUUCAUUUAAGCACCUACUGGUGUAUGUUUUUUAUAUUUGUUUGUCUUUUCUUUGUUUCUGAUGUGUUGUGAUUUUGCAUAGUUUUAGCUUUGUUAUUUCAUAUAUAUUCAUGAAUUAACCUUACAUUUAUUUGCAUUUAGAGUCUAUUGCAUGUACAUUUGCAUCUUGUAGGUGUUGGAUGAAUUGUUUGGAGUUUUGGAGGUGAUUAGAGCACAAAAGGAGCUUUCGAGGAGUCUUGAACCGAACGUGUGAAAGACAAGCAUGGAUGAAGGUCUUAAAGAUAUCUUUUGAAACUUGUCUUUUGGGAAGACAUGGUAAAUUGAGUUAGCUUUACAAUGGAGGUGGUUUCAAGUCGUUUGGAGCUGUAUUGAGGGAUUUAUGAUCAAAAUACUACACACAUAUCAGUGUGUGCAACAUGGAGAAAGUGGAGAAAACUUUAAUGAGUGAGUUUUAUCUCUUUAAAGCUUGCAACAUGGGGGAUGGGUUGUCUAUCAUGAGUUUGGUGGUUCUUUUGGCCUAACUUUCUCUACCUUUUCUGAAGAGGCAAGACUACUUUGGCCAUAUGAAGGGGCAAAAGGUGUUCUAUAAUGGAAGAAAGUGGAGAAUAACUUUUAUGAGUGUGUUUUAUGCUUUAUGCUUUCACAUGAUGGAUGUGUUGUCAUCCUCCUUUACUUAGGCUAUAAAAGAGACUGCAAGGGGAAGGAGGAAGACACAAUACACAGAGUACAAUACAACAAAGAGUAGAGAGUGAAAGUUUUAUAGUUUCAUAUUUUGUAUUUUGAGAGUUUGAGAAAAAACAUUUGUUCUUGGAGUGUUCUUGAAGUUUAUGUUAUAAAGUCUUGUUUUCCUUUA